rnacentral:lncRNA from 1 species
AGGUAAGUGGUAGCCAUGAAGUGGAGCUGGCUGAGCCCACAAGCCAUCCUAUGUGUGGUGUGGAAGGCAGAGCUGAGAAGUAGCAUUACCUAAGCUCUUUGGAGGCCAGAAUACAGUGAGUCAGAAACAUCAGACGUUCUUAUACAGGUCAAAGGUGCCUGCUUUGGACAACUGACAAUGGCCUAGCCCGCCUCAUGUCAAUCAGUAAUCAAGAGAAUGCCCCACAGACAUGCCAACAGACCAACCUGAUAGAUCUGACUCCUCAGCAGAGGUUCUGUUCUCCAAG